UCACCCUGGCACAGAGACAUUGUUCCACAAAGAAUGCUCACUAAAAAAAUGUUUAUACUAUCAUAUUAACUUGUAAAAGAGCAAGCUAUAACAUUUUAUGUUCAAUGUAAUACAUUUUUAUUAAGGCAUAACUCCCUAAAAAUGGCUGGGUAAAAGCCUGGAAAGAGAUACACAAAUGUUAGCGGUGGUUGCUUUUUGGACGGUGUGACCAUGGCGAUUAGAAAUAUUUUUUCCCAACUUUUCACAAGAAACAUAUGGCUUUUCUCAUUUUUUUAAAAAAACGGGGUGGGGGAAAGAGCAAUUAUUUUAAGCCAGAAUGUCCAAAAUGAUGCCGUCGAGUCCAACACAAUAUUUUAGACUUUGUUAAUUCCUUUCUGUACAGGAUAGAAGACAAAGGAGGGGCUAAUCUACUUUAGCCAGAUCUAUCAAGCAAAGCAGUGGGAGUUGUUCACAUAUAAGUUCUGUACCCCCUAAAGGAGGCCCAAGUUAGUUUCUUGGCCCAUGUAAUGAAUGCUUUCUCUCUAUUGACUUUCAUUUUUUAAUAUUCUCUGUCAUGUGACAUAACAAGUCAAUGCUCCAUAAAUAUUGGUCAGUUGAAUGAAUUAAAGAAAAUAUUGAUGCUUACAGGCAGAUAGUUUUCUAGAAAAAUCUGCUUAUUUUUCUGAAUAAUUAUGAAAAACGACAUGAUUUCUAUUUUAAAAAAAAGAGAUAAUGUAUCUAUUGUCGACGGACGGUGGAUGUGAGCCAUGUGUUGUGUUCAUACUCGGAGAAUGAAGGAAAACAUCAGAGACUGGGUAAGACAUAAGCAUGAUUUUGAAGAAAUCAAUUGAAAUUUUAUGGAAAGGAACGAGGAUGUUCCAGGCAUGUGGAUUAGCUUAUGCCAAGAUCUGAUGGCUAAAGAAAGGUGAGCAUAGAGGGUGGCCAGGUUGUUGACGGGAGCAGAUGGCGUGGGCUAGAAGGAUCCUGGCAGGGGUCACUGAUAGAUAGAGGAGGAGAGAAACCCGUAGACAAACAGAUUAGAUUUCCCUCUGAUGCUGGUAAAUGCGGAGCUUUUUGUAAGUUUUGGGGGAAAGUGUGUUCCCAAACACAUAUCCUGCUCUCUUGCUCCUCUUUCUAUGGCAAAGGAGGAGAAAUUUCUUCCAGAGACAUAAGCAGGAGGAAGCUGGAGCUCUCUCCUGAGUGAUUGUCAGUUGCAGAGGAGGUGAAUAUCACAGGACAAGCAAGCGUGGGGGAGAAGACUGCCUAGACAUUCUAAAGUGGCUGCUCUGGUUGGGUGGACUGAGGGUUCCCUCCUGCAAGUUCCUGCUGAGUGUGGCUGUCCUCAGGAAACCAAGUCCCCUCUGCGGCCCUACGUGAAGAGAUCAGGAGUUACUCAAAUCCCAGCCAUCGGAAGGAAUCUUAAGCCACAUAUGAUUUCAGAGAAAGUUUCUGCUUUAUAGGGCAAAGGGGUGCCUAGGACUGAGCCUUGUAUGUGCUAAAUGCCUUGUACUAUUGAAAUGAACGAAUAAAGAGGUUUGUGGACAGCAAGCUAUAGUUCAAACUCACAUAUCCUGAGAAAGACAAGUAAUGGAUUUUCCAUUUUCAUCUAUCAGAUGGGCAAAGACCAAAAAGUUUAGUAAUCCACUGUGUUGGAGAGGGUGUGAGAAAAUACACUACCUCAUACAUUGCUGGUAGGAGUGUAUUUUGUUUAAAAUAAUCCAUGUAGGGCAAUUUGGGAGCAUCUAUUUAAAAAUACAUAUGCACAUGGCCUUUGACCCAGCACUUCCGUUUCUAGGAAUUUAUAUUAUGGAUAUACUAGCAUAUGCAAAAUGACAUUAUGUACAAGGGUAUUUAUCAUCAUAUCAUUUAUAAUAGGGCAAAGUUAGGAAUAUUCUAAUUGUCCAACAAUUAGGGAACUUGUUAAAUAAAUGCUGCUGCAUCUUAAUGAAUUUUUUUAGCUAUACAAAAAAAACGAGGACGCUUCUUACAUGCCAACGUGAAGUGAUUUCCAAGAUGCUGAUAAAUGAAAGCAAUCAAAGUGGACAAUAUUGAGUAUGUAAUGCUAGCAUUUAAAAAAGGAGAGAGCAAAAAUGCAUUUGCUUGUAAUGCUUUUAUCUGAAAAUAUAUAAUUGAAACUGAUAACAUUGUUUGCCUCUGGGAAAGAGAACCAGAUGGUUGGAGGGACAAGGUUAGGUGGGAGACUUUGAUAAACAGUAUUUGUACCUUUUGAAUUUUAAACAGCGUAAAUGUUAUUAAAGUUAUAUACUCACAACAAA
rnacentral:lncRNA from 1 species